rnacentral:misc_RNA from 1 species
GAUGAAGAACGUAGCGAAAUGCGAUAAGUAGUGUGAAUUGCAGAAUUCAGUGAAUCAUCGAAUCUUUGAACGCACAUUGCGCCCCUUGGUAUCCCGAGGGGCAUGCCUGUUCGAGCGUCAUUUCACCACUCAAGCCUGGCUUGGUGUUGGGCGACGUCCCCUUUAGGGACGCGCCUCGAAACGCUCGGCGGCGCGGCACCGGCUUUAAGCGUAGCAGAAUCUUUCGCUUUGGAAGUCGGGGCCCCGCCUGCCGGAAGACCUGCUCGCAAGGUUGACCUCGGAUCAGGCAGGGAUACCCGCUGAACUUAAGCAUAUCAAUAAGCGGAGGA